rnacentral:rRNA from 1 species
CUCUGUGACUCCUACGGGAGGCAGCAGUGGGGAAUAUUGCACAAUGGGGGAAACCCUGAUGCAGCCAUGCCGCGUGUGUGAAGAAGGCCUUCGGGUUGUAAAGCACUUUCAGUAGGGAGGAAGGUAGUGUAGUUAACACCUGCAUUAUUUGACGUUACCUACAGAAGAAGCACCGGCUAACUCCGUGCCAGCAGCCGCGGUAAUACGGAGGGUGCGAGCGUUAAUCGGAAUUACUGGGCGUAAAGCGCAUGCAGGCGGCCUGUUAAGUCAGAUGUGAAAGCCCCGGGGCUUAACCUCGGAAUUGCAUUUGAAACUGGCAGGCUAGAGUCUUGUAGAGGGGGUAGAAUUUCAGGUGUAGCGGUGAAAUGCGUAGAGAUCUGAAGGAAUACCAGUGGCGAAGGCGGCCCCCUGGACAAAGACUGACGCUCAGAUCGCGAAAGCGUGGGGAGCAAACCAGGAUUAGAUACCCUCGGUAG